AUCGCUUCUCGGCCUUUUGGCUAAGAUCAAGUGUAGUAUCUGUUCUUAUCAGUUUAAAAAAUCCUUUGGGGAUAAAAAAUUGAGCUAUCAGUGAGACUUUAUUAUUUCCAGUGUAUAUAAGCCUGUAUCUCUGCACUGUGUAUUUUAUAUUCAUUUGUACGUGUAUGCACAUUUUACAUAUAUGUAUAUAUAUUUU